CAUCUAUCAGACAGGGAAGUAAAUCAAAACACUCAGAUGUAUGAGUUCGCAUAAAAAAUAAAGUGAAAAUGAAGUUUAGCGUUAAUGUUUUAACAUUUUAACAGCAAGAUUCUACUGCUUGGAUUAUCACAGUGUUAUAAAAGCUAAGGCAUAAGUUUAGCAUACGUGAAGCUACUUGAUAGAAAAGGAGGAUGUUUGAAAAGGCUGUUUAGAAGAAACUUUUGAAGAUUUAAAACCACACGAGAGAGUCAAUGAUGAGAGUACGUGCUGUAGAUCAGAUUUAGUUUCAUCAUGGAGGACACAAAAAUUUCUAAAGAUGAGGAUUAUUCUCCCAGAUUCAGUUCAGUUCAUCAGGAGAGAUCAGAUCUAGAGCCCAGCUGUGUGUCUAUGAGGAGUGAGCAGUCUAUGGGUUCUCCAAUGCAUUUUAGGAGUGAAGAUACAGAGGCUGAUCUCAGGAUUCUCAGUGUUUAGUUUGCUCAAAAUCUGCUGAUGGUGAAUAAGGAGAAACAUCACAGACACACAAUCAACACACACUGAAGACACACAGACUAACACUGACUUCACUGUUUUGUUUUAAUUGGUAAUAACCAGGAAAAUGUAUAUUACUCCAUUAUUUCUUCUGAUACUGAUUAUAGUGUAUAGAAAAGAGGAUUUGAAUAUGUCAACACUAAAACGCAUUCGUUUUUAUCAGCAAGCCUUUGAUAAUAAAUGUAAAUAUGUAAAUAUGAAAUGUGUUGUGCAGUACAGACAGCUUUGUUAUGUUGGAAAAUAAGAUUCAUUUGGUAAAAUUACUCUUUGUUUUUAGUAUAAACUUUGUUUUUCAAGGUUUACUCAGAGAAAGUCCAGAUUUUAACUACAGAAGAGAUGUGCAACAGAAAUGUGUCCGUCAGCAGAGGUCGACAAAGAGAAAGCAAAUUAUUUCACUGAGCAUUUAUUCAUUCAUUUAUUUAUUUUCUUUUCGGCUUAGUCCCUUUAUUAAUCCGGGGUCACCACAGCGGAAUG